rnacentral:rRNA from 1 species
GACGAACGCUGGCGGUGUGCUUAACACAUGCAAGUCGAACGGCAAGGCCCUGCUUUUGUGGGGUGCUCGAGUGGCGAACGGGUGAGUAACACGUGAGUAACCUGCCCUACACUUUGGGGUAACUUCAGGAAACUGGGGCUAAUCCCGGAUAGCAGCUCCCGCUGCAUGGUAGGGGUUGGAAAGUUUCGGCGGGUGGGGAUGGACGGGCGGCUUAUCGGCUAGUUGGUGGGGUAGUGGCUUACCAAGGGUUUGACGGGUCGGCGGCCUGAGAGGGUGAACGGCCACAAUGGGACUGAGAGACGGAGCAGACUCCUACGGUAGGCAGCAGGGGGGAAUCUUGCCCAAUGGGCGGAAGCCUGAUGCAGCAGCGCUGCGGGCGGAAUGACGGCCUGCGGGUUGUAAACCGCUUUCGCCUGUUACGCAGCGUGAGUGACGGUAAUGGGUAAAUAAGCACCGGCUAACUACGUG